CCUACGGGUGACAGCAGUGGGGAAUAUUGCACAAUGGGGGAAACCCUGAUGCAGCGACGCCGCGUGAGUGAAGACGUAUUUCGGUAUGUAAAGCUCUAUCAGCAGGGAAGAAAAUGACGGUACCUGAUUAAGCAGCCCCGGCUAACUACGUGCCAGCAGCCGCGGUAAUACGUAGGGGGCCAGCGUUAUCCGGAUUUACUGGGUGUAAAGGGAGCGUAGACGGCAGCACAAGUCUGGAGUGAAAUGCACGGGCUUAACCCCGGAACUGCAGUGGAAACUGGGUAGCUUGAGUGCAGGAGAGGUAGGUGGAAUUCCGAGUGUAGCGGUGAAAUGCGUAGAUAUUAGGAGGAACACCAGUGGCGAAGGCGGCUUACUGGACUUUAACUGACGUUGAGGCUCGAAAGCGUGGGGAGCAAACAGGAUUAGAUACCCGGGUAGUC
rnacentral:rRNA from 1 species